rnacentral:rRNA from 1 species
GCUUGUCUCAAAGAUUAAGCCAUGCAUGUCUAAGUAUAACUCUUUUACUUUGAAAACUGCGAACGGCUCAUUAUAUCAGUUAUAGUUUCUUUGAUAGUCCCUUACUACUUGGAUACCCGUAGUAAUUCUAGAGCUAAUACAUGCUAAAAAUCCCGACUUCGGAAGGGAUGUAUUUAUUAGAUUAAAAACCAAUGCCCUCUGGGCUCUCUGGUGAUUCAUGAUAACUUCUCGAAUCGCAUGGCCUUGCGCCGGCGAUGGUUCAUUCAAAUUUCUUCCCUAUCAACUUUCGAUGUUUGGGUAGUGGCCAAACAUGGUUGCAACGGGUAACGGAGGGUUAGGGCUCGACCCCGGAGAAGGAGCCUGAGAAACGGCUACUACAUCCAAGGAAGGCAGCAGG